rnacentral:lncRNA from 1 species
AUGAAGCGUCAAAAUUUGUAUGGUAAAGAUCAUGAACCAGUUCCAGUGAAGAGCAUGACAGGUAAAAAAAUAUAUAUACACAUCACCUGCAGUGACAAGAAUGCAGAAAAGCUCUUUUACAAGUGGAUGUGCCAGCAAGGAAGUCCAAGACAUCAUCUGACAAGUGAGCAAAAUAGCGUCACACUUUUUCAUUUGAAACAAGUGAAUUUUUCACAAGCUAGAAGCAUGUGGGACUACAGCUGGAUAUGAUUCACUAUUAAUUGUAAUGACAGAUUCAGUGCAGUAGGGGUGCACACUGAAAGCCACAGCAGGGUAGAGGAGCGUGAGGUCCCAGUCAAAUAACAUGGCAGACAGACAAGAACUGCUGCAAGCUGAAGAGGCAAACAUGUCUAUUCUCUGUAGAGCAAAUACACUCCUGUCCAGUGAAUCUACUUUUGAGUAGUCUUCCUUUUAUAUGAGCAAUUUGCCACUUUAAAUUGUAAACUAAAUUCUAAAUUAGAAGUAUUUUUUGUUAACAAAAUGUACAUGAUAUACAGUAAUGCAGCUGCUGCGGCAGCAAACCGGUUUAGUUUGUCACUGUAUCUUAGCACUAGAAAGUGCCAGUGCUCAGGGCACAGUCAACUCAACGAGUGUCUACUAACUCAUCACUUACAAAGCAGUUACUGGUAUGAUACUUUUUCAGAUCUUUGUGUUGAUUCUCCAGUAUAUACAAUAAGUGCUGGUACAUUGCAAACAAAACUGAAAAUGUCUAUUAAUGUUUAUUAGCAGCUUCUCUUUAUUUCAAAGGAUGAAUCACCUCUUGGCUCUCCGAAACUCUGAGCCACUCCUGCACUGAUUCAUACUCACUAUUAUUAUUAUUAUAGGAACUUGAGUGAGAUACGCCAGUCCGUAUAACCAAUGCCAUAACACAUCUGAUUCAUCCCAAAAGGCUCACAAACAGUGAGCACAGUAUGAUACCAGGAUGUACACAGCAACAGAAAUGUAAAAUCAGAAAUCUUAAAUAUAUUUGCUGAAGGACUAGCAGCUGUGUAAGACUCUGGGUAGCUGUCAGCAAUACACUGAUGCUCAUGAGUGGUUUAGAUUGAACUAAUAGAUACAGAGCCCUACAGGCUCCUAAGGCAACAGAGAAAGAGACCAUUUGCAUACAGGCAAGGCAUCAUUGACAGGAAACUUUCUCGUUUAUGUCCAUCUCAAAAAUAAAAUUGGGGCAGGGCAGGAAAUGCA